UGCAGUAUACAUACAGGGCAAUUGUCUUGUAAUUGGAAUGAUGGUGACGUAAAAUCUCACCAGAGUAACAAUUGGAGGGCAAGUCUGGUGCCAGCAGCCGCGGUAAUUCCAGCUCCAAUAGCGUAUAUUAAACUUGUUGCAGUUAAAAAGCUCGUAGUUGAAUUUCUGCGUUGCCCGACUCGGCUACUUGCCUUGUCUGGUUUCGCUUUUGGGGUUUUCCCCUUUUUACUUUGAGAAAAUAGAGUGUUUCAAGCAGACUUGUGUCUUGAAUACUUCAGCAUGGAAUAAUAAAGUAGGACUUUGGUUCUAUUUUGUUGGUUUGUGAACCUUAGUAAUGGUUAAUAGGAACGGUUGGGGGCUUCC
rnacentral:rRNA from 1 species